UUGUCAUCCAUAAUAAAUGGCUGAUGUGGGAUGUCUGUUUUUUAAUUAUAGACUGAUCAGCACAAAUAUUGCUUCUUUCUCAAUGAAGCAAUGUCUGCCCGUUAGAAUAGUUGAAGUACUCUUUAUUAAAAAAAAAAUGAUCUUUGGUAAGUAUAUUUCUUUGACAAAGCUUCCUAGAAACUAUACUAAUGAUAAUUGCCAACUUCAUGCACAUGCUGCUUUUGGGAUUUGAAAGUUUAAUAACUGGGGAACUCAUUGUGGUGCCCCCCCAGUGUUUCUUCUCUUCUUUCCAAGUCAUCAAUAUUCUUCUGUCGGGCAAGAUACGGUUAAUGACAUCAAAAACCUGCAUGCUACCUAUCAUCAUCUUUCCAAAAAAAUGUUUGUAGUUGGCCUUGUAUGCUACCUAAAAUAACAGUAUUGUAGGCAAUUUUAUACAACCAUAUGGACUAUAUAGGUUGUACAGUUAUAUAUGUACUAGCAAGUGGUUGAUGUAGAGCCAUAUAUAUGAGUAAAAUUCUGUAUUUACUCUCUUAUCUUGUGCAUUGGGUGUUUAUACAAUUGUAUGGUUAUUCAAGGCUCUAUGAUUGAUAUACAAAACGUAAUAAUUCUAUUGCAUGACAUAAAUGAUGUAUGAUUCAGUUUCGAUUGGACCUGUGGGUCUCAGAAUCAGCAAACUAGCUAUCCAGGCCAUCCAUUUGACUGGGUUUGUGGGUCUACAGUCCAAUUGGAUGUUAAUGUAGGCCACAUCCAACAAUCGGAUGGCACAUGGUCUACUUAUACUAGUUUAAUUCGUAUGCAGCUCAAUUCUCUUGGGAUGGUUGUUUUGCUACAACUAUGACUCACUCAUUCUUACAUUUCUCCUCUCUUUCUGUGCCAUUGGGUUACUUCACUUCUGUUAGGUUGAAUUAUCCAUGCAAGUGUGGUGGAUGCUGAUGUACAUCUUACCUAUGGGCAGUGGCAGUAAUCUUUGUUUGGAAUUCAAUUCACUUGUGCAUCCAAAAGCGGCCUAAAUCAGCUUAACUCACUCAAGCUAAAGUGAGGAAGACAUUUUGUACAAAUGUUCCUGAUGAAUAUAUGCAAGCUGUUGAAGAUCUGGUUGUCUCAAGGACUCAAUUUGGUAAUGCAUCAGAGAGAGCAUUACCAUGUGAAGGUGCUUGACAAACAAGGAGCGACUCUUUCAUGCAAAUGUUCGACAACAGAAAAUGGUGGAAAACUUGAGCUUCGUAAGGCAAGUAUUAUGCCUUCCUCUAGUCAAUAUUCAUAACUAGAUGCUAUUAGUAAAAUGCAUGUGCAUUGCAUUUAGGAAAUAAUUCAAAGUAUGCAAAAGAACAAUAAAAUCACAGAUCGCUCCAUGAUUUAUAUGAUCGAGGUUAAUCUGUGUAUGUUGAUUGCUCUUUGGGGACCAAAAUGUGUCCAGAAAUG